rnacentral:rRNA from 1 species
AUAUUCCUGAACUUGGUAUUUAUCGUUUGACUGAAGGAGUGACGGAGAAAGGUAGCACAUCCACAGACUGGUUGUUGUGGUGUAAGGUCGUAGGUGGGAUCGGUAGGCAAAUCCGCUGGUCCAUUCAACACUGAGAACUGAUGCCGAGGCGCAAGCCGAAGUGUGUGACCCUAAGCUUCCAAGAAAAGCUUCGUAGGGAGAUAAGUAUUAAUCCGUACCAAAACCGACACAGGUAGAUGAGGCGAGAAGCCUAAGGUGAAUGGAUGAACUAUUGUUAAGGAACUCUGCAAAUUAGUACUGUAACUUCGGUAUAAAGUACGCCCUU